UACGUAGGGUGCAAGCGUUGUCCGGAAUUAUUGGGCGUAAAGAGCUCGUAGGCGGUCUGUCACGUCGGCUGUGAAAUCCCGAGGCUCAACCUCGGGUCUGCAGUCGAUACGGGCAAACUAGAGUAUUGCAGGGGAGACUGGAAUUCCUGGUGUAGCGGUGAAAUGCGCAGAUAUCAGGAGGAACACCGGUGGCGAAGGCGGGUCUCUGGGCCGAUACUGACACUGAGAAGCGAAAGCGUGGGGAGCGAACAGG
rnacentral:rRNA from 1 species